AAAUGUUCUCUCUCCUCUCAUUUUUGAACCAUUAUGCUUUAGUUCUUAGAUAUUAGAAAUUUAGAAGGUUUUCAGUUUAAUAGUGUUAUGAAAGGAAUGCUGGGAGACGAUAAGGCGGCACAGCAUUUUUUCUCAAAGUAACAAGAGUAAUGCAUAAGUACACGUAGUCAUCAUUCUUCCAGACACAUGGUAGUGGCUGUCUUGCAAAGCACUGUUAGAGGUAUGGGAGACAGAUGAGACCCUGGGACUGUACUGUGGAAAUUGUUGCUAAGUCAGGGAGUUGAGACAUGAUCUCAAAUUAAGAUAUAGAAAGUAAAAUAGUAAACACUGGAAGAAAAAAUGAGAUAAAAUGUGCAGAGGUUAGAGAAAUGAGAAGUCACUUGCUAGGUGCCAAUUAGCAGAUAAGCAUGAUAUUAACUAAUAAGGCUGGAAAGAGUUUUCAUUUGUAAAUUACAGCUGCUGGGGAGCGCCACAAGGUAUAAAUCCAUCACUACGUAGGCCAGCUAGUAAAGAUUUGUUGACUUAGUUGUCUGCCACUAAGAAAUGGCAUAUCCUUUCAUAUCAAAAUGUGUGGUUUUUUUUUUAAUAAUAGAGUCUUUUGAAUAUGAGCAACCUUAUUGAUAAUGCUUUAUAUCAGAAUAGCCAAUAUUGAAACAUAAUUAAAGUUUUUUCAGUGGCCUUUUUUGUUUACUGCAUUUAACUUGCCAUUAAGUUUAUAGUUUUUUUUACUACAAAUUAUUUUUCUCUUUACAUAGCAGGAUAUCCAUUAUCUCAAGCAGUACAGGUAGAAUUUCCUUCUAACAAUUGUUAAUUGUGUGGAUUUUUGCAAGUUUAUGUAAAAUAGCUUGUAUCAUAGCAAAGCAUCAGAAAACUGGAAUAUUUAAGGAUUUUUUUUUUUUUUUCUGGGUUGUGGACAGGGAGGAGGGAAAGGCAGGGCUGCUCUUAGGAGCCAAGGAUUUUUUUUAGUAUAUUUUUAAUUGGAGAUGUUUUAAAGCAUUAAAUCGUUAUUACCAAACUUUUUCCUUUUCCAUUAAAAUUAUUUUCCAGCUCCACUUAAAGAAAAUUAUGUUUUGUUUUUUUUUUUACUUGUAAAAUAUUAAAUUACAGGUGUUUUUAGGAGAGUAUAUUUUUCAUUGGCUUCUGGUAUUCUAUUACAAAAUUGCCCAAUAAUGAAGGUGCUUUAGGUCAUGUAUUUUAUGGUUAAAACCUCAGUUUAAAAAACUUGAAGUCAUUAAAAUUCUUCAAAAAUAUAAUUAAUAAAAGUUGCUACAGAGAGUGUUACAUAAACAUAAAACAAAUUUCAGUACGUGCAAUAGGAUAACAUUUACAAACAAGCCUUUCUAUGUCCUUUAGUCUCCAUGUCUCCCCAGAUCCUACUGUUUUCGGCUUGUGCCUCUUUCUGGAGAUUACCUGAACAUGCACAAUCAUACAUGUCCUAUGUAGUUUUUGCUAUUUAAAGAAGUUAUGGCAUUCUAUAAACACGAUUUCACAGUUCUUUCAGGGAAUACUGUAUAUUUUAGAAAUCUUUACAUAAUUAGUACAAAAACAUGUGCACCUUAACUUCUGAUGAGCAUAUAUGUUUAAAGUAUUACAUAUGUCUCCUUUCCCCCCUGAAUAUUAUGUUUUGACCAAGUCUUUUCUGUUUCAAGGAAGACUGUGAUGUAUUAUACAAACAUUGCCUGUGUUUUAUUCUCUU